GUGAAUCAUCGAAUUUUUGAACGCAAAUUGCGCUCUCCUGGGUGAGUGUGCCUAUUUGAGGGUCAGCCUCUAAAAAUAGACCUCGUUGCUGUUUCGCGGUGGCGUUCGGGGGAAAUUGGGUCAUCUUAAAUUCUUUUGAGUUAAGCGACUUAAAAUAUUGUUUUGGUUCUAUGAACGUUUCUAAGAUCUAUUUCUUUACACGUUUAAGGUAUGGAUUUUUCUUAGCCGUGACCAUCAUAUCGGAUCGAGUCGAUACUUUUUCAUUAAGUGACCUCA
rnacentral:misc_RNA from 1 species